rnacentral:misc_RNA from 1 species
GAAAUACGAUACGUAAUGUGAAUUGCAAAUUUCAGUAAAUCAUCGAAUCUUUAAACGCACAUUACGCCCGCCAGUAUUCUGGCGGGCAUACCUGUUCGAGCGUCAUUUCAACCAUCAAGCCCCCGGCUUGUAUUAAAGCCCUACGGCUACCGCAGGCUCCCAAAUCCAGUAGCGGGCUCGUCGUCGUACCGAGUACAGUAAACAUCCUCGCUCAGGGCACGUAACGGGUUCCGGCCGUAAAACCCCCACUAUAUCAAGGUUGACCUCGGAUCAGGUAGGAAUACCCGCUAAACUUAA